GCAGCACAAAUGAACUUUCUUCUUUCUGCUCAUGGAUUUUUAAAUUUCAAUGAACCCAUAAGAUUUUUCAUUUUUCUCCUGAGCUCUGAUGCUUUCAGGGUGGAAUUUUUGUCUUUCAGUAUUUGCUAGUUGUAUUUUUAAGAGGCACUGAUGCUGAAGGUCUUCUAUUCCACCAUCUUGCUGAUGUCAUUCCUCAAAUAAUAAUUUUAUAUUUUAGCAAAUUUUUAGUUUUUAGGAUUUUGUGUCUACAUGAACAUGGACAUGAAAAGAAAUGUACUCUAUCACUGAAAACUUUUGUAUAUAUUUUGGUUGUGUGCCUUUUCUAGUAAUGAAUGAUUAUAUUUUAAGCCAUAUGUUUUAUACAUACACUUUCCUAUAAAGAGACUAGGUGGUUCUGUGCAUCAGCAUAUAGGGACAGAAUAUAACUACACAUUAAUAAUUUCUCAAGUCUUUAUUUUAGAAGUGUAAGCAACCUUUAUUUUAAUCUUUGUUAUGUUACACCUCUGUAAGCAGAGAAAUUUUUAUCUUCAGGAAAUGGAAAAUUUUGGUCCAGAGUUCAGGGGAAGAUGGUAUUGUGGUGUUUUCUCUGGGGUCACUAUUUCAAAAUGUUACAGAAGAAAAGGCUAACAUCAUUGCUUCAGCCCUUGCCCAGAUCCCACAGAAGGUGUUAUGGAGAUACAAAGGAAAAAAAACCAUCCACAUUAGGAACGAAUACUCGUCGUAUGGAUUGGAUACCCCCAGAAUGAUCUUCUUGGUAGGACUAUGAGAAAGUAAAAAUAUGAACUAGAUGAGGAAAAAAUGAAUAAAUGUUAAAUAGCAAGCAAAUUCAGCAAAGAUUUAAAAUUAUAAAACUUUAUUUUACUUACACUUUUGAAGCAGAUAUAAUUAAAGGAUUGACUAAAAUGGUAUAGAUUAACACUUUCUAUUGUUAAAAUGAGAGUUACAUGAAAUGCAAAAGGAAUUAAUGCCUCUUUUUCUGAAGAUAGAAAUGAUCUUUAGUAGCAAUGCUCCAUGUGCACUCCUUUUAAAGAAAAUGCUGUACGCUUCAGUGAGUUAUCUCAUAGUUUCGAU
rnacentral:lncRNA from 1 species